AGAGGAACCGCAGUAAGAGAGGUGCAGAAAGGAGAUCCAAGCACAGGACCAGCGACAGUGAGACUCCUCGUGGGGCAACAAGCCCAGAAGCCAAGCCAAGCGCCAGGGGACCCGGGAAAGGGCCUGGGGUGGGACAGCCAGCGACGCUGGAGGCCUCGCUGUUCCUGCAGGGUCUGCCCUUGGCUGCUCCGUCAUCUCCCCGUUUCAACUACCCCCUACCUAAGAUGCAAGGAGUCAGCUGAGACAGCCGGGGGCGGGCAGAAUGGAAGGGCUGCAACAGCCCCGAGGGGCGGGCCACUGCCCAGGGAGGCAGCCCCAGCUGCUCCAGCGUAGCCGCUGCCCGUAGAGGCCUUGGGAUUAGAGUUCCCGGAUGUCUGGUUUUUCAGCAGACAUUGAAAUUCUUGGUUUCAUAACAAGUCUCUCAAGUUUGAACCGUUGGCAACUUAUUUUAAAAACUGCACAGAGGACUUUUAGGGGAGUGAAGCUACUCCGUGUGAAGCUUCAGCGGGGGUCACACACUGGAAAACUUCUCCAGACCCACAGAGCGGCAACGCCAAGAGUGCGCGACGUGAGCUUGGACUUCCGGGCGAUCACGAACAUCACGGAGCUGGAAUCAUACAGUAUGCAGCCUUUUCAGAUUGGCUUCUUUCAUUUACUAACAUGCAUUUAAGUUUCGUCCAUGUCUUUUCACGGCGUGAGAGCUCAUUUCUCGAGUGCUGCGUAAUAUCCCAUUCCUUGGAUGGACCCAGUUUAUGGGCCCAUCCUUUCACUGAGGGAUGUCCCGGUUGCUUCCCAGUUUCGGCGAUUAUGAAUGAAUCUGCUGUAAACGCCUGUGUGCAGCUUUCUGGGUCGACAUGGUUUUCAGCUCCUUUGAGUAAAUGACAAGGAGCAUGACUGCUGGAUCACGUGGAGAGAGUGUGUUUAGUUGUGUAAGAAUCGCCCACAGUGGCCGCACCAUUGCGGCCCCACCAGCCGCACCCAGUGGCCGCACCAUCUUGCGGCCCCACCAGCCGCCCCCAGUGGCCGCACCAUCUUGCGGCCCCACCAGCCGCCCCCAGUGGCCGCACCAUCUUGCGGCCCCACCAGCCGCCCCCAGUGGCCGCACCAUCUUGCGGCCCCACCAGCCGCCCCCAGUGGCCGCACCAUCUUGCGGCCCCACCAGCCGCCCCCAGUGGCCGCACCAUCUUGCGGCCCCACCAGCCGCCCCCAGUGGCCGCACCAUCUUGCGGCCCCACCAGCAAGGAGGAGGGCUCCUGUUGCUCCACGUCCUCGCCAGCAUCUGGUGUCGUCCGUGUCUGAACUUCGGCCAUUCCGACAGGUGUACAGAAAAGCGAUUCAGGUUCUUUGCAGACGAUAUGCCAUUAUAGGUUACUACAAGGUUAAAAAUACGGCACGCUGCUCAAGUUUGCACACCAUCCCUGGGCAGGGCCAUCACCGUUGCUUCAAUCUGCAGUUCCCUGGUGCCAUGCGAUGCUGGCCAUCUCCUCACGUGCUGCUAUAUAUGCUGUCUUCAUCUAAUAUUUUCUAAGUACAGUAAUUUUAUCUCCUCUUCCUGUUGUAAAUUUAUCAAACCAAAAAGUCAAAGUGGUAACCUUCGGUGCCCCUAGAAAGAAGGCCAACUGGGAAAACGCCGCUUUCUUACAUCGUGUCAACAUAAAAGAUGUAGCUACAGUCUGUGUAGCAAGACAGUCUUCUGAAAAAAUAGCUCAGACACCACAUCUCCCAACAUCCUCCACAAAGCAAGAAGCCCAGAAAAUUUCAGAGACUUGCUGAUGGUCACAGAGCCAGGAUGCCGACCUUUUCCCCCAAUCCAACAGGCUCUAAUAAGAAGGUUUUCAAGGACAGGAGAAAAUAGAUCACAAAACAGAAAUAUGCUGGAAUAAGGGAAAUCUAACUGUUCUGUUGAGCAUUUUCAUACAGUGGGAUGUAUUAGGAUGAAGGAAAAAGGUAAUCACUACAAAAUUAAAUACUGAUGCCAGAAACAAAAGAAGCCCUCAGGUGUGGUGCUGAAAUAGCCCAGAGACAGGCAGUUUACACACAGGUGGUUUCCUCAUCUCUGGAGAACACCACCUCCUGGCUAGCCAGGAGGGAGGUUACUUUAGUCCCCUCUUGCUCAAGACCCUGCAGUGGCACUGGUACAGUACUGAUGGGAACGUAAAUGGUGCGGUCAGUGGAAGAGUGGCUCCUCGAAAAGUUAAACGUAGAACUGCUGUCUGACCCAGGAAUUCCACUCCUAGGUACAGACCCCAAAGAACUGCAAACAGAGACUCGAACAGGUACCUGCAUGCCAGUGUUCAUGGACGCUUUACUCACAGUAGCCAAAAGGUGGAAACAACCCAAGUGAGACAGAUGAUGGAUAAACAAAAUGUGACCUAUACAUUCACUGGAUAUUACUCAGCCAUAAAAAGAAGUGAAAACAGAAAACAACAAGUGCUUACUACACAUAAAGUGUGUGUUCCCUGUCCCUGUGUGUAGAGCACAGGGAACUAUGUUCAGUGUCUUGUUAGUAACCUGUAAUGAAAAGAAUGUGAAAUAUGUAUGUAUGUAUAUGUACGACUGAAGCAUUACGCUGUACACCAGAGGUUGACAAAACAUUGUAAACUGCCUGUACUUAAAUAAAAAAAAAAAGAAAAGAAAAGCAAAGAAAGAAAAUCACGUGUUGCCGAGAUGUAGAGGAGUCGACACCUCCUGCGCGGCUGGCGGGAGUGCGGAAUGCCGGGGUCACUGCGGAAGACAGGCUGGUGGCUCCUCAAUAAAGGACACGUCGAAUCACCGCGUGACCCAGCAAUCCCACCUCUAGGCAGCUCCCCCAAAGACGGGAAAGCAGGGAGUUGAACAGCAGUUUGCACGCCAGUGUUCACAGCAGCAUUCAUUACUCACAAUAGACAAAAGCUGGACACAACCCGAAUGUCCAGCCACGGAUGAAGGGAUAAAUCGAACGAAUGGAAAAACAAUGGGUAAACAAAUACUCUGCUUUAAAAAUGAAUGAAAUUCUGAUACUUGCUGCAACAUGGAUGAAGCUCGAAGGACAUUCUCUCAGUGACAUAAGCUGUCACAGGACAAGCACUGUAGGAAUCUACUCACCGAGGUCCCUGGAGGAGUCAGCUUUACAGAGACAGGCAGCAUAAUGGGGGUUUCCAGGGUCUGGGGGAGAGGGAGGAGGAAGUUAGUGUUUGAUGGGGACAGCGCUGCAGCUUGGGAGUGCUGAUGAAAAUUUUAUCUGUCGAUCUAAGAAAGAAAUGGAAAAUUUUUUUGAGCCAAAUUUGAGGAUUAUAAUCCGGGAAGAGCAUCUCAGAAAGCUCUGAGGGCUGUCCCACUGGUUAGAAAUCAAGGCACAGGUUUACAAGUUUUUUGAGACAGAGGGCUGUGCACCAAAUGAUGUGUUAUUGACAGUUUACAGAGUCCAGAUCUGAGCCUCGUCCUGGUGGGUCCUGUGACCCUUUAUGAGCCCAAGGCGGAACGUUACCUGUAAGGAGCUGUCCUGUUGAUGCGGGGAGAACGCCGCUCUUCAUGGCGGAGCAGGUGUUCCUGCCGGUGGGGAGGCUUGGUCGACGCCUAGUGCAGAUACUCAGGGCACAGCGAGGGGAGAGAAGGUCAGAGGGCAGGGAAGAACUUAUGUUUAAAUUUUUCUUGUCUUGCCAGAAAAUAGGAAUUUCAUUUCACAGGAAGAUGAAAAAAUUCCAGUGAUGGAAGGUGGUGAUGGAUACACAACAACAUGAAUGUACUUCAUACCACAGAACUGUACACUUAAAAAUCGUUCACUGUAAAUUUUUCAUUUUGGGGGUUUUUUUGGGGGGGAGGUAAUUAGGUUUAUUUAUUUAUUUAUUUAUUAUUAUUUUUUUUAAUGGAGAUACUGGGACUGAACUCAGGACCUCAUGCAUGCUAAGCACACACUCUAUCACUGAGCUACACCCUCCCCCCUAAAUUUUAUGUUCCAUAUAUUUUACCAAAACCAAAGCAAGAACAGGAUAUAUUCAGCACCAAAAAAAAAGGAAUGAAGUUCUGAUCCAUUCCAUAACACGGACAAAUGUUGAAAUGAGCUGGACACAGAAAGGACAAACAGUAUAUGGCCCCACUUACACAAAAUACCUACAAUAGGCCGAUUCCUAGAGGCACAAAAUGGACUAGAGGUUACUGAGAGCUGGGAACAAGGGGAAUGAGGUGCUACUGCUUAACAGGGCCAGAGUUUCUGUUUGGGGCUAUGGGAGAGUUUGGAAAUAGACGGUGGUGAUGGCUGCACAACACUGCAGUUAA